rnacentral:sRNA from 1 species
AUGAAACCGGCAGAAGAAAUGCCGACAGAGCCAUUCAAGGAGGAGACAGAAGAACACCACUUUGGCAAAUUUCCCCAUCGGUUUGUUUAGCUUUGGCCAUGAGAAGCGAGAGAAGACAAAAACUUUUCUUUUUGAUCUUAUGGUAACAGGCAAAACGGCAAGUCAUAUAUCGGCAUCAGGCUCGUGUUCGAGUUCC